AUUGAACGCUGGCGGCAUGCCUUACACAUGCAAGUCGAACGGCAGCGGGCCCUUCGGGGUGCCGGCGAGUGGCGAACGGGUGAGUAAUGCAUCGGAACGUACCCGGGAGAGGGGGAUAACCGGCCGAAAGGCUGGCUAAUACCGCAUGAACUCGGAAGAGCAAAGCGGGGGACCUUCGGGCCUCGCGCUCUUGGAGCGGCCGAUGUCCGAUUAGGCUAGUUGGUGGGGUAAAGGCCCACCAAGGCGACGAUCGGUAGCGGGUCUGAGAGGACGAUCCGCCACACUGGGACUGAGACACGGCCCAGACUCCUACGGGAGGCAGCAGUGGGGAAUCUUGGACAAUGGGCGCAAGCCUGAUCCAGCAAUGCCGCGUGGGUGAAGAAGGCCUUCGGGUUGUAAAGCCCUUUCGGCGGGGAAGAAAUCGGUCAGGCGAAUAGUCUGGCCGGAUGACGGUACCCGCAGAAGAAGCACCGGCUAACUACGUG
rnacentral:rRNA from 1 species